GACGAACGCUGGCGGCGUGCUUAACACAUGCAAGUCGAACGGUGAAGCGCCUUCCUUUUUGGUGGGUGUGGAUGAGUGGCGAACGGGUGAGUAACACGUGAGUAACCUGCCCCCUUCUUCUGGAUAACCGCAUGAAAGUGUGGCUAAUACGGGAUAUUCUGGGUCUGUCGCAUGAUGGGUCUGGGAAAGAUAUUGUUUCGGUGGGGGAUGGGCUCGCGGCCUAUCAGCUUGUUGGUGGGGUGAUGGCCUACCAAGGCGGUGACGGGUAGCCGGCCUGAGAGGGUGGACGGUCACACUGGGACUGAGACACGGCCCAGACUCCUAAGGGAGGCAGCAGUGGGGAAUAGUGCACAAUGGGCGCAAGCCUGAUGCAGCGACGCCGCGUGAGGGAUGGAGGCCUUCGGGUUGUGGACCUCUUUCGCCAGUGAAGCAGGCCUGCCUCGUUUGUGGGUGGGUUGACGGUAGCUGGAGAAGAAGCGCCGGCUAACUACGUG
rnacentral:rRNA from 1 species